GUGCCGCUUCAGUUUCACAUUGGUCUUUAUAUUCCAUAGAACAUAAAGAUGUUCUAGGGACCAGGAAGGUAAAGGAAGUGGGGAAGGCUUCUGGACUGUAAAAUGUCUCUGUGACCAUGUUCCUGCCUGCUUUCACUGAAAAGGACCCAAGUAAACAUAGCGGGUACUUUACAUUGACUAUCGAUGCCGCAGAAAAGCCAUGGUUUUGAUUCCAGGAGUUAUCAGAAUAUGCCUUUACAAUUGCAGCCAUAAGUGAUCCUGUGCUUAUCCUCUGUCUUUUGUGUUCAAGAAAGGAGAAAACUACGACGACUCCAACAGAACCAGUUGACAGAAACCCCAAGAAGAGCAGAGAGACAGCGCGGGUCAGUGUGACGAGCAGCUGCGGAGAUGUCGAAUGUUUUUAUACAGCCUGCGGACAUCAAUCAUGUUGGCGCCUCCCUUCUUCGGCACAGGGAUGCUGAAACCUGACAGCUCUGGGACCUUUCUCACAUCUGUUGUCUGUGCUCUGCUCCCUUGCCUGCUGGAAGGAAUCUCCUGUCCAUCUCGUGUGGCAGAUGCGAGCACCUCUAACUUUCUAAAUUCGGCUGCAGCCUCGUGCUCGCCCCUGUUCUUUUCUGUCCGAGGGACAGAUGCCUGUGCCGACUCAGCAGUGCACGGAGUUUUCUGGGCGAUAAAAUAAAUAAAUGAAAACCAUACUAUAUGA